rnacentral:rRNA from 1 species
CAGUCGCCACGGUAAUACGUAGGUGGCAAGCGUUGUCCGGAAUUAUUGGGCGUAAAGGGCUCGCAGGCGGUUUCUUAAGUCUGAUGUGAAAGCCCCCGGCUCAACCGGGGAGGGUCAUUGGAAACUGGGAAACUUGAGAGCAGAAGAGGAGAGUGGAAUUCCACGUGUAGCGGUGAAAUGCGUAGAGAUGUGGAGGAACACCAGUGGCGAAGGCGACUCUCUGGUCUGUAACUGACGCUGAGGAGCGAAAGCGUGGGGAGCGAACAGGAUUAGAUACCCGCGUAGUCCCUGUCUCUUAUAC